AGACGAUUACAGCUCUUGCGUUCGGAGCAAAGAAAACGACAAGGAUGUAAACCUGGAGGAGUCAAAUGCUGAUGAGUCGAAUGGCAUUGAGAAAAUGAUGGAUACAUUAAGGUAGCAUGCGUGAAAGCCUACGAUAACAAUUUCACAUCAUUAAUUUUGUGGUCAAGAACAUCUAUGUAAAGUAAUCAUCUUUAACAAUCUAUAUGUAUAUAACACAUUUU